ACACACAUUAGUUACUGCUACUUAUUUAAACUGACACAGUAUUUUUAACUAGUUAUCAUUAACAAUGUUUCCUAUCCCAGUCUGUAAGUUUCGCAUCAUAUUAAUUAACUUUGAUUAACUUCUUUACAUGAUCAUUGCAUAAAGUAUAGAACUUCAAAACUCGUAUCCUUAUUAAGGUUUCUACUCUAAAUGCUGUUUUUGAUAUUGUCAUAAAAAUAACACUAUAUUACAUUACAUAAAUGUCUGACCCAAACCCUGCAGAUACCUGGAAAGUACUGACAGUCAGUGGGGUGUUUUUAAAUAAUUAUUUUUUUUGGAAUUAUGCGUAACAUAGUCAGAGGCUUUACAGAGAUGGUAUGACGUCUUCCAUGCCGGACAUACACUGGCAAUUGUGCAAACAAAGCGAUAUACUGACCGGGUUAACCUUGAAUGGUAAUAGCGCGAGAAGUUUCGCUGAGGAAAAAUGCCGCCAUUGAAGCACAGCGUGCGUGCCUCGUAUAACGGUCACUACAAACCGAAUAAGUGCUUUUACAUCGUACGCAGAAUGAUAACAUACCGCGAUACUUGUCACGCGAUUUGCGGAACAGACCUACCAACCUACAUUCAAUGACCUUGCCCUUAUAAUCUCCAAUCUGGUAUUGUUACAGGUAGUAAACCAGUGGAAGAUGUCCUUUUAUAUUUAUUUAACUAUGUAACAACAAUACAAAACAACUAUUUAUUCACUAUUUCCUACAACAUAACAUAAAAAUAUUGACCAGACCAGCCUUUAAAGACAUAAUAUUCGAGGCCUGUGCUAGCGUUAUUUAAUUGCAAAUCUUGUAAUUAGAAUAUAUUCAGAGAUUGAUCGGUAUUAAACAAUCGUAUUCGUUUGGGUGGCUUCAGUAUUUUUCAAACUAUAGGGUAAGGUGACAGCUGUCAUCUCCAUAUAAUUUAUAACCUAAAAACGCCAAAUCUCGCAAAAUUGUAUUGAAAUGACACAUGUCACUCUACCUAUCGAGUUUGAAAAAUACUAUAGCCAUUUUAAUUGUUAAUUUUAAAUGUUAAGUGUUUUAAUCAAAAUAGUUACUCUUUAAUAUGUGCGAUGCUACCUGUACAAUAGGGAAACUACAAGGUUUAUAUAAAAUUAUAUCUGAAAAAUGAAGUGAUGAAAUAUAAUUUAUAUAUGUCAUGGGUAUUGUAAAGGUACAUUAUAAAUUAAUAUGAUAUUUAUAUGUGUAAGUAUAAAGGAGGAUUAGAGAGAUAGUGAUCGAGGGCGAAAAUAGUACAAUUAACUGUUAAGGGAAUACGAGUAAUCGUUAUAGUAGAGUAUAUAAUUAAUUUUGUGCCCUUAAAUUGUAUAAAACACUUAAUACAUUUUCAAUAAAUAGAAUUUACUGGAGAGCUCAAUGUAAUUUGAGAGAGAAGCUUUUUAUUGUAUAAUUGAGACGGUACUGAAUAUUUUGUACAGGUAGAGAAUUACAGAAGGAUGUCGAGGCGACCUCGGCGCCUGCGACGGAACAAUACCUCGCUAACGAGAUAACGACGGUGUUCUUCAGGUGCAGCGCGUUCGCGCGGCGGCCGUCGAAGCCCGCUCUCGGAACACCUCAAUCCUCCUUUGUUUACGUUGGGAUCGCACUUGCCCGCUGAGCUCGAUUACAUCCCCAACGCAAUAAAGCUUGAAGCUAGCUCACGACUCCGCAAUGUCUACUCUUUAUCGCCCCCACCGAAUGCGGAGCGAUCUUAAACGUAUUUUAAUAACUUCCACCCGCCGGUCGCCAUAAUGGGCUCACCAUGCAAAUGCCUGUGCCCACGGAGCACCGUUACACACCGAUACCGACAGUAACGAACCGCCCCGUGAAAUAAAGAAAGGUAAUAAUCGCGAACGGGAAAUCCGAUCACGCCGCAAGGCACCAAGCGCGCAGGAAACACCGGCACCGACAUUCCAAUUGCAAACUGCAACUAUUUAAACUAAACCUGCACAUAAACUCUGCUAAACAGGCUGUACGAUUCCAUUUUACUCGGUAUAAAAAACAUUAACGUUGUCGUUAAGAAAGUGCUCUAACUAGUUCCUGAUAGUCGCUAUCCCAUCGGAGAUCGAAUGAGGUAACUUCCAGUGAAGUUGAUUUAUCUCGUGUGGAUUUGAAGUUCCCUUUCGCGAUAUAGCAAAGCGCUUUCCCUGUCGCAACUCUGCGCUUUGACAUCGCUCUUCCUUUCUACGUUGCUGUCGUUUACGGAAUCACACCACGACUAAUUGUCAGUGAGCAUCUGCCUCAAGUGGAUAAUAGAUAAUAAUCUUUCGUGUUUGAUCCUAAUCAUCAUCUCAUUAAAAACAUUUACCGGAAAGACAGGUAGUCGCCUUUUAUGUGUUUGUAACUUAUCAGACAGCGUAUCUAUUAUUCGAUUAGGUUUAGAUUGGAUACUGUCUGCGAGUCUGCCCAUGUCAAACGUUAUUGCAAAAUAAGAUUUACUAUUCUCUCACGUUCACAUCAAGAUCGAGUUGGGCGACAACAACCUCUACAAAAAGUAAGUUGAAAAUCUAAUAGAGUUUGCGGCGAGCCGGUAAUUUGUGUUAUUUUUUAGUGUUGCUGACGCUGAAGAGAAAUGCUAUGUAACGCUAGCCAACCAAGCAACCUGACAUUACUGUAAUAACUCUGAACCGCCCUUCUGUCAUUACUCUGUUCACUUUCCUGGGCUAAAGAUAUGACUUUUUAUUUCUAUAUGCCAUAUUCUUUGCAAUUGCAUUUUAUAAUAUCCACACCGCGCCAGGAAUUUGUGUCGGUUUACCAAGAAUAUUAAUGUUGAAUCUGGUACUUAGGAACACUUGUUUGGAGACUAAUGGGUUGUGCUUACUCGAAUAUACCGUAGUGGGUACUUAUUAGGUUAGCACGUGAUUACGUAACGUCGCUGGUUGUUAUGUACGAUUGCUUGUGAAGUAAUGAUGUUAUAAUUGAUGCGGGGCAGCGGUCGGGUAGAAGCAGCGAUGCGUGUACAAACAGGUCCAAGUAAUGCACCUAGACAGUGGCGGCGCGCACGGCCUGCGCCCUGCGUGGUCAUUGCGCGUGAUAUUAAUCGAGCGGCCAGAUAUUAUUUCUCUAUGAUUGCACCCUUAUAGAUCCACCACCUUUUCAUUAUCAAAGCCUGCUUUUUUGCAAUUCACUCGCAACAGUAAUUGACCUCUAAACAUGGCCGUCGGUACGUUCAGUAGAAAUUGCAAAACAAUUCAUCUAAUAAACCAAGCCAAUCUUUCCGCAUUAUGUCAUUAUAUUCUUCACCUCGAGUCAGCGAACCCAUUUUUUCAUUUGGAAUACAUUAAAACCGAAUGUCUAUACUCUUAGUGAUCGUGAACCGCUGAUAGAAAGCUCGAGUUUUAUUCUGCUACUUGUUGUACGACGUCUUAUCUAUAAUAGACUAUUUAAUGUUGAGCUUCCUGACGAUGAAACACGAGGCAAUAAUUCUUGGCACGUUGUUGCUAAACAGCACGUCUAAACAAUUUCGUUGAGACACUUAAGAUGAUAUUUAAAAUAAUUGUAUGCAGUGGAUUAAUUACUUUGAUUAAUUGGGUAAGAACCAUUUCAGUUUUACGAGUUUUUUUUUUUAUUUAUACACAAAAUAUUAACAUAAUAAUUUUGUGUUUAUAUAGGUUUUUUGUUGUGUUGGCUGUUAUUAUAAAAUGGAAUAGGUAAAAAAAUACUUCUAUAUUUUAUGUAGCACUAUGGGAGUAAACGCGUAUGUUUUUUGCGGGUUUGCUUUUUUAUUUGUUUUCUUUUACCCGAGUACGGGAAAAGUUAUAUAAUCUUGACAGUCUAGGUCCUGUUUGUGUUGCUAUUUCACGGUAGCAUUAAAACUUCUGAGACAGUUUUACUACGUGGUCUGAGUGUUAAACGGAGGAUGUUUUUUAUAAAAAAAGAAUAUCUCAAAACUCGGCCAAGAGCAUGUCCAUGCUCAAUGUAGGGCUCCGUAGUUAUUAUUCUGUCAGAAUAGGCUAAACGGGGACUAUUAGUUAGUAUCAUAUACAAAUUACAUUACAAGCAUAUUUUUAUUUUACCGUUCUGUCGCCAUGCAUGAUUUAUAUAUCCAUGCCAAAUUGCAGCUUUCUAGCACUAACGAUCACAUAGCAAAACCACGGACAGACAGACAGACGGACAAGGCGAAACUAUAAUAGUUCCUAGUUGACUACGGAACGGCGUGCUUUUAGUGAUGAAAGCUUGUGUUAUUACAAAGUGCGAAAUUGUUUGUUUUUUACGAUUCAGUAUUGAUUGAUCUCUGAAUAGUUUGCGUAUCAGGUAGCUAGAAUGCAAUGGCAUUAAUGAAGCGCAGGCUUUUCCUGGUCACGCAUGAACCAUAUUUAAUACAUCUACCGAUAUAAUUAUAUCCUUCGUGUCCAAUGUAUCUCGCUGAGCACAGUUAAGUGUGUAUUCAGCCCCCUAUUUAUUUAUAUUUAUACCCGAUUACGACGAACUCAAAAGGGAGGAUAUGGGUAUGUAGGUAUUCACGUACAGGAAAAACUAUUAUACCUACCUACUGAUUUUCAUAAAUAAAGUAUCAAUCGAAUCGUUUUUGCGACACACGAUAUAUUUGUACCUAUAUACUGAAUUGUAGCAAUAAUUAAUAGGUUUAUUUACAUACAAUUAUCCGGGUUUAACUACUUCUAAUGUUUAUUUUGCAAAAUAACACGGGGUUUGCUGUUGCUGUAAAACUAUGCUAUAAAUACUUAUGUGUGAUGUAAUUGUGAUUCACGUUGAAUGAACGGGGUUGCCUUUUAUACCUUAUUUGUUUUUUUUAAAUUAAAAUUUGAAAAAAAAAACUUUAAUACGGCUUAUGACAUCAAAGGUCUAUGCUAUUAUUAUGUAACGUCGAGAUGUGUACGAAGAAGUAUCAUUGGUCAUCUUUGCAACGAGGCAUAGCGCCCACCAAGCGAAAACAUCAACCACGCUGUGAUAAUAAUGGUCAGGCAGCUGAGAAUAUUCCGCCAUCUCCGUGGGCAAGUAGACGAUUCUGUGUCUGCAUUUAAUAUUUAUCCGAUAGCAUUGAUUGGAGUACAUUGUCAAUAGUUCCCCGAUUAAUGCGCGCGAUCGGUUCUAGGUGGGUCCGUUUGCCUUAGUCGCGGUAUCGCGCGAGCAAUCGUAACUUCUUCCCACAUAAUUGGCGUGUGGGCGCGGCAGUGGCGCUUUAUCCCGAUCGCCGCCCACCGGCGACGAGGCGACGCCCGAUUAGAUAGCACGGCCCCCAACCCGACCCGGGAACACCUCCCGCACCACUAACUAACUGGGGACGUCUUCCGCGCAGUAGCGCAAAAUUAUUAUCUCCUUACCCUUACGAGAUGGCAGAGGGCGCGAAACCAUUAUUGCGUGUUCGCACUCAGUCGCAUAUCUCAUAUAUAUCUCUCGGGCUAGAGGAAUCGUAUUUUAUUACACAGGUAGCCUUUGCGCCCGACUCCGUGCGCGUAGAUGUCGUCCAACAGCCCCCGGACAGUACCAGAGACAUAAACUUACAAAUUACCCUUAUAAACACUCCAGCCCGUUUUACCUCCGUAAGGAAGGAAAUGCAAAAAACACUGAAAUCACUUUUCUUUUCAUGUUAUAAACAUAAACAUCUAUUAAUACCUUUUCUCAGAGGUCUUUGUAAACAAACUGUUGUGAGCUAAGUAAUGCCAGUUUUAUCAUCGAUGUAUUUGAGUAUUUUAUAUAUGUACUAUUUUUUAUUAGAAUAAUAAUGUGUAUGUUUUCAUGUUCAGUCUCAAAAUCCCUAUUGAUCUAAUUAAUACUUUUCGUUUAUUUUUUAGCCUAUUGGUGUCCCUUCGCGCCUCAGAAACAAUACAUAGAGUAGUAUAAAACCGUGGUCAGCGGCAGCGCGUCAACAACAUCAUUCCUUUUCUCUUCGCCUCUUAAAACUAGACAUGUACAUAUUACUAUUUUUAGCCAACAUUAUGGUAAACUAAAUUUUUAAAUAACAAAGUUCAACUAGAAAUCUGGGAGGUCACGCUUACGGCGGUCAAUGUCUACGCGGAUACGUAUAAUUCCUCACCCAAUUCUUAGCAGAUGACGUUUCGCUGAACAUCGUUUCGCAGAGUGAUUUGCUGGUAGAUGUAACUUUUCGUCGCCUAACGUUGGGUUGGCAUGUGUGUAAAAUAGCAGAACAAUUAUCGGAAGAAUUUCAUUAGGCAGGUGUAUUUGUUGAGCUAUUCACAUCCAUUCCAUGAUGCUGAACUUCCCAUCUAAUUAUGUAUGUGAGAAAACCCGUCUGUAUUCUAUAGAUAAUUAAAUGUAAAUGAAAUCGACAUUACA